CCCUCCUUGAGUUCUCCAUGUCUUGUGGUCCGUCUCUGGAAUUCACUAUGAAUUUCAGUCUGUCUCUCUUGGUCUCACAAUAAAGGAUCCUGAAAGACAUGUAUUAAAAUGACACACACGAUAUCGCUGUCUGUCAAGUUUAAAAACAUUAAAUAGAGACUAACAGGGGAGAAAAGAUGGGUCCAUUGAGGCCAAGGGUCUGGGAAACCCUGGGAAGUGCACCCAACUUUGUUGUCCUUCUGGGGGGUGGGAGAACAAGCACUCGGAGGCCCACUUUCUCUUUAAGAUUCAUUUUUAAAUUUUAAUGAUGUAUAAGGAUGUGGUCUGUGCCCGUGGGUGCAGUUGCCCACAGAAGACAUUGGAUCCCCUGGAGCUGGAAUUAUAGGCAGUUGUGAGCCCCCAGAUAUGAGUGUUGGAACCAAACUGGACCCUCUGUAAGAGUGGCACAGGUUCUUCACCACCAAACUGCCUCUCUAGCCUGUCUCUUUUUUAGAGACAGAGUCUCAUAUAGCCCAGAAUGUCUUAGAACUUGCUAGGUAGCCAAGGGUGACCUUAAACUCUGAAUCUUUCAGCUCCCACUUCUGAACUGAUGGUACUAUAAGCAUGUACAUCCACAUGCUUUUAUUCAUGGAUGCUGAAGAUAGAACCCAUGCUUGCUGCAUGUCAGACACUCUACAGACAGGGCCAAGUCCCCAGCCCUGCCUCUCUCUUUCUCUGCCCUCUCCCCCCCCCUCUCCCCCUCUCUGUCCCCCCUCUAUUUCUUCUAGGUUGCUGCCUCUUCUCAUCUCUCUCCUUCUCUUUGGCUCACGCUUCUGUGGCUGUGAACACAGCUGGCUGAGGAUGAAGGAGAGUUAGGGAGAAAGGCAGGGCCACAGAAAAAGGACUCAAAUCCCGCUCUCCCUCCCUCCCUAUCUUAUAUAAGGUCCUCUUUCAACUCUUCUGAGUCCCCUCUCCCCCCCACUUCUUGGCUCUCAUUUUGGAAACUGGUCCAAGUUUCUCAACUUCUGUUCAGGUCAGAAGAAGAGCGUGUUAAAGCCAACACUGGAGCAGGCAAGGGAGAGGUGCACUGCGGCCAAGGGUCUGGGAAGCCCUUGGAAGCACACCCAACUUUGCUGUCCUUGUGGGAGGUGAGAGAGGAAGCAAUUCAAUCCCUCAGGUCUCAGGCACAUGCCUGUUCCAAAUGCAACUUGGACUCUAGGAGGAGUAUAGUCUCUGAACUUGGCACCGUUGAUAUUUUGGGGCUACUAAUUCAUGUGGAAGGCUGUGCCAUGUGCGAACCUUCCUUCGGCGACAGAUGAAGAUAGAGACAGAGACCCACAUCAGAGCACUGGAC